AGGACGAACGCUGGCGGCGUGCUUAACACAUGCAAGUCAAGGGGGCCCAGCAAUGGGCAACCGGCGAACGGGUGCGUAACACGUGAGCAACCUACCGAACUGUGGGGGAUAGCCGGCCUAACGGCCGAGUAAUACCGCAUACGCUCUCAGGGAGGCAUUUCUUUGAGAGGAAACCUACGGGACAGAUCGAGGGGCUCGCGGCCUAUCAGCUAGUUGGCGAGGUAACGGCUCACCAAGGCAACGACGGGUA
rnacentral:rRNA from 1 species